UCUGUAGGCGUGAAAAAGAAAAACAAUUACUAAACAAGAACAGCAAGGAUUUUGAGCUGAGUUUUGGGUAACUAAUAAAAUUACCUUGUACCUGUGAAAACUUCAUAAGCUGUUCUAAGUGACAGAGAGAUCUCUCUUCCGCCUCCCUCUACCUGCUGCCUAUAUAUAGCUUUGCCAACCACAUCAAAGGUAAGUCUCCCAACCAUUUUUCUGUUCUCUGUCUAGCCUCUUCCUAAAUUUAUUUGAAUACUGCAGUUUUAGCAGAUUAAAUUAGUCAGCAAAGGGAAGGUGCAAACAGAGAAAGGGGUUAUUAUAUAAAGUCACAAGAAAGUCUAAUAUUUAUUUACAACAUGAAAAAGAGGGCAUGCUCUGGUCUCUGGGGGACUCUGAAGUAGGAUUUAAAAAUUUGACCCUGAACAAAUGACAACAAAAAAGAUCAGCAGCUUUCCCCGAACCAGAAAAUGAACAGAUAGAAAUAUCAAAAACACUGCCCUGUUCACAAGUACAGUUCUUCACUGUACCACUCUCCUCAAAAGUCUAUAUCAAAAGAUAGUCCUUGAAGCAUGCCCUGAAGUUCAGACUCAAUGAAGCAUAGGGCUGGAAGGGACCUUGAGAGGUCAUCUAGUCCAUCCUUCUGCACUGAGGCAGGACUAAGUAAACCUAGACUAUUAAUGACAGGUGCCUGUCUAACCUGUUUUUAAAAACCUCCACUGAUGGGGAUUCCAUAGUGUCCCAUGGCUACCUAUUCCAUAUUUUACUUACAGUUAGGAAGAUUUUCCUAAUUUGAUCCUAAAUUUUCUUACUGCAGACUAAGCCCAUUACUUCCUGUUCUACACUGUACAUGGAGAACAACUGAUCAUCACUCUCUUUAUAACAGCCCUUAAUAUACUGAAGACCUACCAGGUCACCCCUCAGUCUUCUUUUCUCAAAAUUAAACAUACCCAGUUUUUUAACUUUUUCUCACAGGUCAGGUUUUCUAAAUCUCUUAUUUUUGUUGCUCUCUGGACUCUCCAAUUUUCCCACACCUUUUAUGUAAGUGUGGCACCAAAAACUGAGGUCUCAUCAAUGCCUAAUACAGUGGAAUGAUUACCUCCUGUAUCUUACAUACAGAACUCCUAUCAAUAUAUCCAUGAAUUAUAUCUGCCUUUUUUGCAACUGCAUCACAUUGUUGGCUCACAUUCAAUUUGUGAUCCACUAUACCUCCCUCCUCACAGAUCCUUUUCUGCAGUACUACUGCCUGACCAGUUAUUCCUCAUUUUAUAUUAGUGCAUUUGAUUUUUCCUUCCUAAGUAUAGUACUUUGCCCUUACUUUUAUUGAAUUUCAUCUUGUUGAUUUCAUACUAAUUCUCCCAUUUGUCAUGGUCAUUUUGAUUUCUAAUCCUGUUCUCCAAAGUGCUUGCAACCCUUCCCAAUUUGGUGUCAUCCACAAAUUCUGUAAGUGUAUUCUUCAUACCAUUAUCAACAGUCUUUGGCUAUUUAAGGUUAAGGGGAGCACAUGGGUGGGGGUGGGGAUUCCAAAGCUGAGGGUCACUUGUGGAGAGCACCAGAGCAAGGAGGGCUUCAGUUGAGUGCCUCCACUAAUUGCAAUUCCAGCAGAACAACAGAGAAACAGGCAGUCUCUCAAACAGCUAAGUUGAAGCCAUAGGGCUUUAUAGAUUUUAAAAAUCCCAUUUCCUGGAAACCAACAGGCAGCUAGUGCUGAUCAUAGACCACUGGUGUUGCACACUCCCAGGGAGAUGCACUAAUUUACGUUAUGCAACAUCUUCACUCUGUGUGUGUAAAUUUCAGUGUAGCAUGGGUAACAGUAUUUAAUUAUAUACACAUAUGCUAUACAUAUCCCACCUCGCAGUAUUUCACCCUUUCCUAAGCAGAUUCAUUUAAUUACUCUAGAUACAAAGUUUACCUUUUCAUUAUAUGUAUAGUCUGUUAUUACUCUCUUGAAAUGGCAACGGCAAACACUUUGAUAGAUGGUCAGACUUCACUAUAGCUUGUUAGAAUCUUUACUUACUGCUAAAAUUUUAUUUUGUAACUUUUUGAUGCAACAUUUCUCAGUUUAUUCACAACAAAUAACCAUUACCACCACCACAGAUUCUAAGAGCAUCAUUUUUCACUUUUGUGAAUGGAGACACUUGUAUGUUUCCCUAAACACUUACAUCCAAAAUUCAUCAUUAUCUACACUGUAUUUUAAGUGCAAAUCUAAACUGUGGAGCUAAGCCCAAACAACCUCUCAGAUUUGAACAACUCUAAAUCUUAGGAGUGUUCAACUUAAGAAUAGAACCAAAUUUUGUAACUGAGCUCUCUACUAAGGAAGUACUUCAGUUAUGGUUGAUCUUUCUCAUUUUAGGAGAUGCGAAACUGAAAAGUAAAUGAAGGACUAAUGUCCAGUAACUCAUGUCCUAGAGCCUUAGCGGUAUUUAAAAACUAGCUGGAUUUUAAUAUUUUAUACUAUUAAAUGGCAAAGUUGUAUUCUAAUGCUAUUAAAAAAACCCACUAUUUUCAUUGUUCCUGAAUACAUUUCUAUGGUGAUUUAGAAGCCUAAAUAAUUCUAAUCAUUAUAAAAACAAAUCACAGAACAUGAUUUGUAAGCAUUUUUGCAAUAGGUUAGGCACACAAACAAAAACAGUAGUAACCUAUAACCUAACCACAAUAGACACAGUCAAAUCUUUACUAUUAAUUAUAAUUAAUCAUAAUCAUUAAAAAUUUACAGCUUUUGAAUUAUGCAGAUUUAAUAUGUUCUGGCUCACUUUGGGGG